CUCGAUGGAGCGGGCAGCGUUCUGCAGGAAAGUAUGCAACGAAAGGGAGAAUACGGUCAUAGUUGCAAGCGGGAUUCACGGCGAGCCAACAGGCGAACGCGCGGCUGCGGAGAAACUGUUACGGGUCGUCGUUGAAAUCGGUGGUCAGCUGAUAAGGGAGAUGUCCCGGCGUGGCGAGUCGUGGGACGAGCGACGAACGAAGUUCCCGCCGCGCAUGCUGUCGUGGCCAGCGCUCACGAUACUGUCCGCUCGUUGAGCGCUUUCUGACGGAUCCAGCCACGGUGUUUCAAAGUGGGAGACGAAGAUCGCCGGAGCGGCACGAACCGCGCACGAACUAUCGAUCGAUACUGAUGAGAUCCAUGGAUCCUUACUCUCCUCCUUGGAUCUAUCGUAAAAAUAGAUAUUUAUUCACUCAUUUAUUUAAUUCACCGGUUAGAAACCCUUCAAACUACGAGAGCAGAAAGUUAACAUUGUAAAAAGUUGCUUUUUAAGUUUAUAAAAGAUAACUUUAAUAAAUGUAGAAUAGAGAGGUACGUGGCGAUGUCAUACAAGCUGCGAUAUAAAUUGCAUACGAAGCCUUCUUCUUAUGACUGCACUGGAAUCAUUAAAUAUGUCAAACAAGUGACUAUAAAUCUAUUGGCUUUUGAAACAGCCCUGUUGACGACGAGUGACCAAAUCCAGAGAUGAAUCUGUCAGAACAGAAGGUACUCUUAGGUCUGAUUAGUACGCGUGAGGAAUUGAACUUGAUUUACCCUAAGAGAAAUGAUUUAGUAUGAUUGUAAUAUCUUUUUAAUUGAAAAAUUGUCCACACCAGAAAUAAAAUUCUUAUGUAUUCUCUUCCACGAACA